ACAUGUGAUGCUACAACCCAACUGGGGGAUCGCUCGGCUCGAGUGCCGAUGAAGGUCGUGACAAGCUGCGAUAAGCUGCGGGGAGACGCAAGAAUGUCUUGGAUCCGCAGAUGGCUGAAUGGGACUUCCUGUUUCUUCGGAAACAAUCGCGAUGCGAUAGGGAACCCCCCGAAUUGAAGCAUCUUAGUAGGGGGAGGAAAUGAAAUCAACAGAGAUUCCGUGAGUAGUGGCGAAUGAAAACGGAAUAGGACAAGCCGAAUCCCGACUCGAAAGUGAGGGAGAUGUGGUUUGCAGUCUUUUGUCUAAGUCAGUGAAGGUGAAGUUGUCUGGAACGGCACAGCCAAAGAGGGUGAAAGUCCCGUAACCAUACCUGAUAUGACCACGUGACUGUAAAAGAGUAGCGUGCGCUGGAAAUCGCGCGUGAAUAUGGGAGGCAGAAACUUCCAAUCCUAAAUACAACUCGAGACCGAUAGUUUACAAGUAACGUGAGUGAAAGCUGAAAAGUAUCCUUGGCGGGAUGUGAAAAGAACGUGAAACCAGUUGGGUACAGGCUGACAAGGCGUGAAAGCGAUGAUAUGAGCAGCGUCUUGUCGUGCGUUUAGAAAAAUGCCCCAGGGAGUUUUGAUCAUUGGCGAGGUUAAGCGGUUGAUCCGCGUAGCCGAAGGGAAACCGACAAGUCCGCAGCAGUUUACUGUGAGGGACGAAGUGUGCUCGCUUGGAGUCAAUGGUGGAAGACCUGAAGCCCGUCGAUCUAUGCCUGGCCAGAUUGAAGCCCGAUGAAAGUUGGGUGGAGGAUCGCACCGUUGCUGAUCUGCAAAUCGCUCGGACGAGCUGGGUAUAGGGGUGAAAGUCCAAUCGAGAUGGGCAAUAGCAGGUUCCGCGUGAGACUACUCGUAGGUAGACGUUCGUGGAGAUAGAUUACGCUGUAGAGCACUGAUUGUGCGUUUAGGGGGAGCGAUCCCUCGGCGUGCUGCCAAACUCCGAAGGUGUAAUCGUNGUNGANNCGNGCAGUGAGUGAUGGUGGGUAAGCUACCAUUACNNAAGGUGAACAAACCAGCCUGAAGUUAAGGUCCCUAAAUAUCAGUUAAGUGUCACAGACNAACCGUGUCCGUGGUCGAAAACAACCAGAAGGUGGGCUUAGAAGCAGCCAUCCUUGAAAGAGUUCGUAACAGAUCACUGGUCUAGCUUGCGGGCCGGGAAAAGGGACGGGGCUCAAACUGAUUACCGAUACUUCAGACCAUCGAAAGAUGAUGUGGUAACGCGGCGUCGUGCAUGGGCGGAAGGUAGGUUUUGAGAUCUACUGGACCGUGUACGAAUGAGAGUCUUGGGAAGAGUAGCAGCACAGUGUGGUGAGAAUCCGCACCGACGAAGGGGCUAGGGUUCCUCGGCACUGUUUAUCAGCCGAGGGUUAGCCGGUCCUAAGGUCAACCUUAACCGGAUUGAUCGAAAGGGAAUGACGUUAAUAUUCGUCAGCCACCCCUACAAUAAUGGUGACGGCUCGAGCAAAGCAUGUGGAUCAUAUGUCAGGUCCACGUGUACCAAAUCUCUGGAGAACUGUCAUAGUGAGAAGGAGAUGAAGUCUUGGGUCCCGUGAAAAGCCGUAGGGAGUGUCCGUACCGAGAACUGAAACAGGUGCCCCUGGGUGAGAAGCCUAAGUCGUAUCGGGUACAAAUAUCGCGAGGGAACUCGGCAAAAUCGCUCCGUAACUUCGGGAGAAGGAGUGCCAGAUCAGAGAUGAUCUGGUCGCAGUGUCCAGGGAGCUCCGACUGUUUAAUAAAAACAUAGGGAACUGCCAGAUCGAAAGGUUGAGUAUAGUUCCUGAAUCCUGCUCAGUGCUGGUAUCUGAAAUUGGGUUACAACCUAGCGAAGGACCAGUAAACAGCGGGGGUAACUAUGACCCUCUUAAGGUAGCGUAAUACCUUGUCGCUUAAUUGGCGACUUGCAUGAAUGGUCCAACGAGGGC
rfam:Euryarchaeota archaeon TMED103 17590, whole genome shotgun sequence.